ensembl:lncRNA
CUUGUCAUCUCUUAACAUAUUUCACACUGCCACAUUCAAGGAGCAGAAGACUCAUUUGGACGCUUGUAAGAAAUCCUGCUACGCCCUCCGACAAACCAUCAAACAGGCAAAGCAUCAAUACAGGAGUAAAAUCAAAUCCUACGACACUGACUCUGAAGCUCGUCGGAUGUGGCAGGGGCUUGCAAACUAUCACGGAUCACAAAAGGAAUCCCAGCCGCGAGCUGCCCAGUGACGUAAGCCUACCAGACGAGCUAAAGGUGUUUUAUGUUCGCUUCGAGGCAAGCAACUAAGUAAUCAAUCUCUCCGUAGCCGAUGGCCCAUAAGUAAGUAUUUCACUUUUAGUCUACACCUGUUCUUUACGAAGAAUGUGACGAAUACAAUUGUAUUUUAUUUUAUUUGACUCGACUGCACUUGCACUGCAUAUCCCUCACUGGUUCACUGCAUGUCCCUCAUCGGUUCACUGCAUGUCCCUCAUCGGUUCACUGUAUGUCCCUCAUCGGUUCACUGCAUGUCCCUCAUCGGUUCACUGCAUGUCCCUCAUCGGUUCACUGCAUGUCCCUCAUCGGUUCACUGCAUGUCCCUCAUCGGUUCACUGCAUGUCCCUCAUCGGUUCACUGCAUGUCCCUCAUCGGUUCACUGCAUGUCCCUCAUCGGUUCACUGCAUGUCCCUCAUCAGUUCACUGUAUGUCCCUCAUCAGUUCACUGCAUGUCCCUAAUUGGAACCGCCCUUGCUGUCUCUGCCUGGCCGGUUCCCCUCUUUCCACUGGGAUUCUCUGCCUCUAACCCUAUUACAGGGGCUGAGUCACUGGCUUACUGGGGCUCUCUCAUACCGUCCCUGGGAGGGGUGCGUCACCUGAGUGGGUUGAGUCACUGAUGUGAUCAUCCUGUCUGGGUUGCCCCCCUUGGGUUGUGCCGUGUCGGAGAUCUUUGUGGGCUAUACUCAGCCUCGUCUCAGCAUGGUAAGUUGGUGGUUGAAGAUAUCCCUCUAGUGGUGUGGGGGCUGUGCUUUGGCAAAGUGGGUGGGGUUAUAUCCUUCCUGUUUGGCCCUGUCCGGGGGUGGCCUUGGAUGGGGCCACAGUGUCUCCUGACCCCUCCUGUCUCAGCCUCCAGUAUUUAUGCUGCAGUAGUUUAUGUGUCAGGGGGCUAGGGUCAGUUUGUUAUAUCUGGAGUACUUCUCCUGUCCUAUUCGGUGUCCUGUGUGAAUUUAAGUGUGCUCUCUCUAAUUCUCUCUUUCUUUCUCUCUCUCGGGGGACCUGAGCCCUAGGACCAUGCCUCAGGACUACCUGACAUGAUGACUCCUUGCUGUCCCCAGUCCACCUGGCCGUGCUGCUGCUCCAGUUUCAACUGUUCUGCCUUAUUAUUAUUGGACCAUGCUGGUCAUUUAUGAACAUUUGAACAUCUUGGCCAUGUUCUGUUAUAAUCUCCACCUGGCACAGCCAGAAGAGGACUGGCCACCCCUCAUAGCCUGGUUCCUCUCUAGGUUUCUUCCUAGGUUUUGGCCUUUCUAGGGAGUUUUUCCUAGCCACCGUGCUUCUACACCUGCAUUGCUUGCUGUUUGGGGUUUUAGGCUGGGUUUCUGUACAGCACUUUGAGAUAUCAGCUGAAGUACGAAGGGCU